CUUGGUCAUGCCUCGCUUCUUGGAACUUCUCCACCGAUCCAUGCUCUGUUCCUCGCCGGACUCAUUUCACCUGUGGUAUUUCUUGCUCCGCAGACUCCACCAGGGUGAUAUCAAUCACUCUCGACCCUGCUGGAUACGCCGGCGCUCUCUCUCCGGCCAUAGCCAAACUUACCCAACUUACCGUCCUCGACCUCUCUGAUAAUUCCUUAUCCGGGUAUGUUCCAAGCGCACUUUCCUCUCUUUCCAACCUCCAAAUCCUCACCCUCCGGUCCAACUCAUUCUCUG
rnacentral:lncRNA from 1 species